rnacentral:rRNA from 1 species
UACGUAGGGAGCUAGCGUUGUCCGGAAUCAUUGGGCGUAAAGCGCGCGUAGGCGGCCCGGUAAGUCCGCUGUGAAAGUCAAAGGCUCAACCUUUGAAUGUCAGCGGAUACUGCCGGGCUAGAGUCCGGAAGAGGCGAGUGGAACUCCUGGUGUAGCGGUGGAAUGCGCAGAUAUCAGGAGGAACACCUAUGGCGAAGGCAGCUCGCUGGGACGGUACUGACGCUGAGGCGCGAAAGCGUGGGGAGCGAACAGG